GCCUAACUCUAAAUACAUUAUGGAAGUCUUUGUUUGUGUCUUUGUUUGUUUUCACCUGGGUCAGUGUGCUAAAUGGAUAAAACGCGCGCCUGCUUAGAUUGACAUUUGUCAGACUGACACAUGCGCAUUUGUUAUUAAUGGCAAGCGCUAUUGUUAUUAAAGUCAGAACCGAAUUUUACGCGCGAGUUCGGUUGACGUGUGCUGUAAUGAACGAAAAGUUGUGAAACCUGUGUAUGUGUAUCAACUACACACUUGAACAGUGAAUCCUGGAGAUUCGAGCUCACACUGUCCUGCAGAAAGAAAACAUGAUGAUACUGCAGAUGAAUAUCAUCAGGAAACGAGCAGGUGAUUGUCUGCUAACACCUCGAUCCCGCGGGAACUGAAUAAACAUUCCGGACAUGAGGUAACCAUGGUGACGCACGCGGAGAGCAACCUGCCGCAUUUCCACAGGCAGCUCGAUGGUCACUGAGGGUGUUGUGGAUUCUCCUUAAUCACAUUCACAAUCUCAUCUGUGCAGUCCAAGUCCAUGAUUAUCGCAGAUUCAUAUAUCAUUGCAUUAUAAAUCCAAUAGAAACUACUAUAACCUUUUUAGUUUGUAAUUGUAAAUGCAUUAAACAGCUUUUGCAGGCAUUUUAUGUGUGUCUAUUAUGCAGCAACAUGUAUCAGCCAAAUAUGUCUAUAUAUGUUGAUGCUAUAAGGGCAAAGUCUACCAAAAUAUUCUUUUUAGAAGUCGUAUUUUCAGCCUCCAGUGCGAUAUAUAAAACAGUAAAUGAGUGAAGGGAGUUUCUAUUUGUUACUCCUGCUGGCUGUGAUUCAAAAGACUUAAGAGAGGCAGUGCAACACGAACAACACUGAGUCAUCACGAUUCAGAGGAGAAUUCUCCAGAUGAAAGCAGUUUGCUCAAUCUGUGAGUUCAAACUAUCAAACAUCCUUCUGUUCGCUGUGUCACGAGGAGUCGUGUCUGUGGCUGCAUACGCAACCUUGUAGAGACUGUGUUUGUUUUGUUUUCUGGUAAACGUUCAAAGAUUAGCUUAGGUUUGUUUUGAGAAUGAGACUUCAGAUUUGAAGGAUGUUAAUCAAAGAGGUUUUUGCAUGGAUUCCAGGCAGCAUGUAAAACAACAACGCAGUCUUUCAGAUGAAAGUGCCCAAGAAUGUAUGUUUGAUAUUCAGCCUCCUUUCAUUUAUACAUACAUAAAUUGAGUUGUUCUAACAAAUAGUUGCACUCAAACCAAGAUGUAAAAAUAAAUAAACCUUGGAUUAUACAACAAAGGAAUGUAUGCAUUUAUUUUCAAUGAUACAUGACAGAGCUGUUCUUGAUUUAAGUUUCUACAAAAGAUUACACUGACAUCAUGUGGUAGAGAUAUGAAUUGCAAUACGAAUGUGUAAAUGUUUGUUUUACUACUCAUAAUAUUAGAGUAAAUUUGAUUAGCUCUGACUUUUAAUUAAUGUUCUGCAUAUU